GGGGAAUAUUGCACAAUGGGGGAAACCCUGAUGCAGCCAUGCCGCGUGUGUGAAGAAGGCCUUCGGGUUGUAAAGCACUUUCAGCGAGGAGGAAAGGUCAGUAGCUAAUAUCUGCUGGCUGUGACGUUACUCGCAGAAGAAGCACCGGCUAACUCCGUGCCAGCAGCCGCGGUAAUACGGAGGGUGCAAGCGUUAAUCGGAAUUACUGGGCGUAAAGCGCACGCAGGCGGUUGGAUAAGUUAGAUGUGAAAGCCCCGGGCUCAACCUGGGAAUUGCAUUUAAAACUGUCCAGCUAGAGUCUUGUAGAGGGGGGUAGAAUUCCAGGUGUAGCGGUGAAAUGCGUAGAGAUCUGGAGGAAUACCGGUGGCGAAGGCGGCCCCCUGGACAAAGACUGACGCUCAGGUGCGAAAGCGUGGGGAGCAAAC
rnacentral:rRNA from 1 species